GCUGGCGUAGCUUAACACCAAAGCAUGACACUGAAGAUGUCAAGAUGAGCCUUUAAAAGCUCCGUAAGCA
rnacentral:tRNA from 1 species